rnacentral:rRNA from 1 species
AUUGAACGCUGGCGGCAGGCUUAACACAUGCAAGUCGAGCGGAGUGGUGGUGCUUGCACUAUCACUUAGCGGCGGACGGGUGAGUAAUGCUUAGGAAUCUGCCUAUUAGUGGGGGACAACAUUUCGAAAGGAAUGCUAAUACCGCAUACGUCCUACGGGAGAAAGCAGGGGAUCUUCGGACCUUGCGCUAAUAGAUGAGCCUAAGUCGGAUUAGCUAGUUGGUGGGGUAAAGGCCUACCAAGGCGACGAUCUGUAGCGGGUCUGAGAGGAUGAUCCGCCACACUGGGACUGAGACACGGACCAGACUCCUACGGGAGGCAGCAGUGGGGAAUAUUGGACAAUGGGCGGAAGCCUGAUCUAGCCAUGCCGCGUGUGUGAAGAAGGCCUUAUGGUUGUAAAGCACUUUAAGCGAGGAGGAGGCUACUUUAGUUAAUACCUAGAGAUAGUGGACGUUACUCGCAGAAUAAGCACCGGCUAACUCUGUGCCAGCCGCCGCCGUAAAAC